UGCCUCUGAAUGUGGGGAGCUUGCGCCUUGAUCUCGUGCUGAGACCCUCGCCAGGUUUCCUGUUGUGCGGGCAAACCCCACUAUUGCAUGGUGGGCAGUCAGGUGAUUGGGCCCCUCCUCUGAUGACACCGCCUGCGGUCUGGCCUGCUGUGUGUUGCCCAACCUGCUAAGGUGUACAGUGUACAGGGCUGCAUUCCUGCCAUUCCUGUCCUCCUCCUUACAAAGGGCAGUGUCACCCAGCCCACUGUCCUCCAUCCCUCCAUUCACUUUCCCGAGGAUGUGGGGUGAAGGAGGGAGCCAGCCUCCAGGGGAGUGACAGGGAGGGUGCCGGAGGCCCCCAGCCUGGGGAGCCAGCCCCGUGUGGCCGCUGGAGGUCUUGGAACCUUGCUGGUGGGGAAGAACAAGGAAACGGGGCUCCACUCUGGGAAAGAGGUACGGACAUCUGCUGCUGGCCAGUCUGGGGGGCUUCUUACAAGAGGAAACACAAGAACUGCAGGGAGCAGAGGUCUUCAGGGGAGCCAGGUGCCAUGGCCUGGAGGAAAACUGAAGACGGAAGGAAUAUCAGAGACAGAUAAGCAGAGGGACAAACUCUCCAUGUGGCCACAUCAGCAAUGACCCACAGAGCCCAGUUGGGAAGAGACAACAGAGCCAACAACUAUCCCAUCCCAACUGAAGAAUACUCAUGGUGUGUAUACACGGCAGAGAAAUUAAACCAGACAGGCUGUAGACCUGGUGACUCAAGGAAGAACAGAAAGAAGAGAAAGUUAUCAAAGAAACAAUACAAGAAAAUUACCCAGAACUGCAGGACAUAAGUUUCCUGAUUGAAAGAGCUAACCAGGUUUCCAAACUAUAAAUGAAAAUAGGAUAUCAUCUUGAAAUUUCAAAACACUGGGAAUUUAGGAAAAAAGGUUAUAAAUAUUAUAAAAGAAAAACAAUGAGAUAAUUUCAAAAGAUCAGAAUUUCUCAAUUGUAAUACUGGAAAGCAGAAGCUAAUGGUGUAAUGCCAUAAAAAUUCUAAAGAAGUUUUACCUGGAAUUCUUUAUCUAUACAAACUAUCAAUCAAUUGUAAGGCUAGAACAGAGAUAUUUGAAGAUAUGUAAGAUUUAAAAAUUGUACCUCACGUGCAUCGUUUUUCAGGAAGUUACUGGAGGACAUGUUCUACUUGAGCAAGGAAGUAAACCCAGAAAGAGAAGGACAAGGGGCACAGGAAACAUUUCUAGCAUGGAAAAAUAUAAAGAGGUUCUCACUGAUGUUGAAGGGGUAGAGAUGUGCCACAAGCCAGGAGGCUCACCAGUACAGACACAAACAGGAAGACAGAGAGCUCCAGAAGGGAAAAAACAAGCCAAUAACAGAUAAAAGACAAAAAUGAAUGAUUACCUGAUGUGUGUGAUUUUGCUGAGGGGACUUUUCAGCUUUGUCAGAUAAUUUUGGGGAAUGAUUAUUAAGUAGUAAAUGAAAAAUUAAAUAUAUGGAAAAAAUGAGGCAGUAGUUAACCUCAGAAAAAACCAAAGUUGCACAAGAAAGAAAAGGUAAUCUUAGUGGUAUAAGUGGCUUAGUUGCAACAUUUAUGGAGUCAUAAUAAUGUCACAACUAAAAGUUGAUUUUGCCAAAGAGUGUGAUAUAAGUGAGUUAUGAAGAUGGUGGGUAUGGUAGAAGAGGUUUGAGUGUGUGGGGUUGUGGGUAUGUCAGCUAAACUGGAAAAACCAAGAAAUAGAGUAAUCAUGUUAGGUGAAAAUGUGGAGGUGAAGAUGAAAAAAAGCAGUGAAGAGAUUCAGAAGUAGUUGACUUAAGGGAGCUGGAAGUGGGCAGGGGCGCGGUGACAGCCACCAUUUAUUAUCACAUGUCUUGCAACACUAUCUGACCUUUUAAUGUUAUAAGCAUUAAAAAGGAAGAAAUAAUAAUAGGGUGACAGUUACGUACUCUCUCAGAAGAAAAUCUGCACAAGCACGUCUGGGCACUCUCUCUGGUUGGUUUUAGAAACUCAAGCCAGGUUGUGGGGACCCCUGAGCAGGCACCCUAGGUUUCCUGAGAUUCUCCUUUUUGCUGUGUCCAGGGGCUCCAAUGGCAACAACCACUGAACUGGCUGGAGUCUGAGUACAGGAAUAUGUGACUAAGUCAGAGUCUUCUCCUGCCUUUGACUGAUUUAUGGGUUGGUGCAGGUGGAUUUAUUGCUGCACAGCCAGCUACCAAUUAACAAGUGAGGGGUUCCAACAUGUCCAAGUGGCAACACAGACAGUGGGGAACGUGGAAACUGUCUGUGCAACACUGUCCUUCUUUUCCUGACUGCUUCACAGUUUGUUUUCUUUCCCGGUGGAGCCCAGAUGCUGGUGUUGAAGCAGCAGAGGAGCUGGGAGCUUUCUCCCACCAGGCAAUCGCUGCAUGCUCAUUGUUUCCUGUCCUGCUCAGAUGCCCCAACAUGCCUCCUUUGGCACUGGACAGAGGAUCCCCUGCAGCAAGGGCCCCAGAGGGGUUCCUCAGGUCUGCUGCCCUGGGGAGAGGUUGGAAGGGAAGGGGUGGCCUGCUCUUGGGCAGGCUCCUUCCUCUGCUCAGACAGACCACAGGGUCACAUCCAAUUCUGUGUCCAACUCCAAGAAAUCAGAGCCGAGCUGUUCACCCUCUGCAUUAGUUUCUUGUGGCUAUCACAACAAAUUUACACUGGGGGGCUUAAACAACAGAAAUAUAUUUUCCCACAGUUCUGGAGGCCGGACGCCUGAGACCCAGGUGUGGGCAGGGCUGUGCUCAUUCUGAAGGCUCCAGGAGAGGCUCCUUCCCACCCCCUCCUCCUUCUGGUGGGUGCUGGCAAUCUCUGGGGGGCAGGUGGCUCUCCUCCGUCCUCACAUGGCCGUCUCCUCUCCGGGUCCCUUCACAUCAUCCCCCUCUGUGUGUGUCUGUGUCCAAAUCUCCCUUUCCUUUUGAGGCUACCAGUUGCUGGAUUUGGGGCCCAUCCUGAUCUAGUGUGACCUCAUCUUACCUUGAUCACACCUGCAAAGACCCUUCUUCCAAAUAAGGUCCCAUCCACAGGGACGGGGGUUAAGAAAUGAACUCCUCUCACCAUGUAACUUAUUCACUAUGUAAGAAUUUGUUCUCCUUGUAAGAACUUGUUCGUUAUGCUUCAGAAGAUUGGAGACUGAUGAAAAUUAGCCUUGGGGUGGAUUAAUGAUUGUGCAUUGAGCAUUGACCCCCCUAUACAGAAUUUUAUUGUGGUUAACAACCAUUUGAUCAAUAAAUAUGAGAGAUGCCCUCACACACACA